rnacentral:rRNA from 1 species
UACGUAGAGUGCAACGACGUUCGUCCGGAAUUAGUUGGGACGUAAAGGGUACGCAGGCGGAUAGUAAAGUCAAGCGUGAAAGGUGUCGGCUUAACCGACAGACUGCGUUUGAAACUGAUUAUCUUGAGUGUAACAGAGGAGAGUGGAAUUCCUAGUGUAGUGGUGAAAUACGUAGAUAUUAGGAAGAACACCAGUGGCGAAGGCGACUCUCUGGGUUAACACUGACGCUGAGGUACGAAAGCUGGGGGAGCAAACGGGAUUAGAUACCCCCGUAGU